UCUCCUAAUUCACUCCCACGAUCCCCCAAACACAUCGUCUCCCUCCUCACGAAAGGGGGCCAUCUAGCUAUGCGGACAAGGAGGCGGCCAACGAGUGCAAGCGAAGGUGAGAGGUGCUCGUGGCAGAGUACGGGGAGGUGUGGCGCCGAUUGCUGCUCGCCAGCCUGCCGCAGGGGAGAUCCCCGAUAGCCACCGCAGCUCUCGCUCCUCGUCGCGACCGCGUUGGUUGUGAUGUACCCGGCCCAGGCGCCACCCCGUGUGGCUUUCUUCUCCGUUGUCAUUCGUGGGCAGUGGAUCGUUCGCGCUUCGCCGUUGACUCGUCCUCCCGCCUUUCUAGGUGGCCAUGUCUGCUUUACGCUCCGCCAACGACAACGUCUCCCCUGGCCGCCUGUCCCGCCCUGCCUCCAAAUCGAGCCACUACAGUCUGAAGUGGCACACUACUGUCUUAUAUAUAAGAUCUCGAGCCUGACGCGGGAGGACGACUUCGACCAUGGAGCAGAGCGCAGCGGGCAGGGUCCGACAGCAGCAAGUGACUUUUUUUCUUAUUGACAGCUUGUUCCUGCACAUACAUCCUGGGUAAAGCAACCGUAUAUGAUGCUGACUUUGAGAGGCUGAUCUGAAUUAGGUGACAUAUGGAGGGAUUAACAACGGAUCAGCGGGCCACCAUGGUGGUGGUGGGCCGCGAUGUUUUAAGAUCAAACGGUAAAGUAAUAUUGUGUACUUGUGCUAAGUACUUUUGGUUAGUCUGCUGAAGGAUUCAUAUGGUUACAACAUUUACUUCAUAGCCACGCCUGUUUUUGUCUUCUAGGCGGGCUCAGUUUGCAUAGUCCUCGCCAAUGACCAUUUCAGAGCCUGGGCAUAAGUAAACUUCUGGUUGCUGUAUUUUCUACCUGUUCUACCAACCAUUGUGCCUAAUUUAAACUGGCACGCCUGAUUAUGUUCUGUGGGUUUGUCCUCAGCUUGCAGGAAUCCUGUUAGAUUCAGACAACCUUUUCAAGAUGUGCUCACAAAAAGAUUCAGAGGCAGUGCGAUUGCUCUUGUUCGGUAGCUCUGAGCAUAAGAGGCACGAAUUAUAUCAACAAUGUGAUGCGUACUCACAAUGAUCAUUCUUUCGUCGAGUUCUUGAAGAACACCUACAGAAAGUCAUCCUAGGAUGGUAAGUUUUCUCCAUAAUAUCUUCACAUGGUUCCCCGCCUAUUUGUUGGAAAUUCUUUGCUUAAGUUACUGUAUACUUAUCCGUGUCUAAGAUAAAUUUGCAAUAUGCCCAUUAAAUUAAAACAUCAUUGAUGAAUUAUUGUAGUUCAAAUUAACUAGGUGAUGGGUACAGUACUCCAGAGCAAAAGCAUUCAGUUUCAGGGACAUCACAAGAUGCUAAAAAAGUCCAAUUAAAAUAAUUUGGUCAUAAGACAUGUAAUAAUUGACUUCUAAAAAAUGAACUAGACGGUUAAAGUUUCUGAAAAUAACGCAGAGGUAACUUAGAUGGUUAAAGUUUCUAAAAAAUGAUCUAGAUGGUUAAAGUUUCUAAAAAAUGAACUAGACAGGUAAGGUUUUUUUUUGGAUUGCUUGAGGUAGGACUUCUAGGAACAAAGGAGCAGCACUUGGAGAAGACGGGGGCCAAAAAUAUAGUUGCAAUAUUCAGAUAUAUUAAGCGAGAACUUGGUAGAUCAAGAUAAGUACAACAAGGAGAUCUCCCUUGCCUCUUAUGCAGUCCGACAGGUUUGGAAAGAAAUAAGUGGAGAUCUUUUUAGGCCAAAGAGAUGGAUCUGGAAGUUUUUUUUGUGUGUGGAUGGAAGAGUUGGUUUCUGAAGUUAUUAGAAUGUUAACCUCCCUUUGGAGGCAUUUGACACCUAGCCUUUGCUCCUUUACAACCGAGCUGACUUCUUGACAUCCUUGAAAUUUCUUUUCUACUUUUUCAUCUUGUUAUGUUGCCUCU